rnacentral:rRNA from 1 species
ACACGUGGGUAACCUACCUAUAAGACUGGAAUAACUCCGGGAAACCGGGGCUAAUGCCGGAUAACAUUUAGAACCGCAUGGUUCUAAAGUGAAAGAUGGUUUUGCUAUCACUUAUAGAUGGACCCGCGCCGUAUUAGCUAGUUGGUAAGGUAAUGGCUUACCAAGGCAACGAUACGUAGCCGACCUGAGAGGGUGAUCGGCCACACUGGAACUGAGACACGGUCCAG